rnacentral:lncRNA from 1 species
GGUCUGCGUACACACUACCCUCCCCAGACCCCACUAAGUGGGAUUAUACUGGGUUGUUGUUGUUGUUGUUGUUGUAUGUAGGCCCUAUGCAUAUACCAGUUCAAUGAAUUAGUGAAGCAUUAUUGGAAAUAUAACAGAAAGGUCACAUGUCUUUUGUUUGACAUGAAUGUUGAUAUCGGAAAGGCAUCUGUUGCAGUGUGUAUGGCUCGCUUACUUUCACGUCACGCCAACAUCUGACUGUUACAUUGGAACAAGAACAGCACGACGCAUAUGGCUAGUUCUAAGUCUUAAUUUAACUGCCAAUAAAGUGUGUAAGUACAUGAAUAAUAGAGUAGUGACUGCACGAACGGGUAAACCACUUCUUAUUGACUUGUAUUUUCUGACACCUGGCCUAUGCUUCUACAUUCAUCUCCCAACAACAACAACAACAACAACUACUCAGUAUAUUCCCACCAGGUGGGGUCUGGGAAAACUUACCUCUACCCUUGGGUAGAGAGGCUGUUUUUCA